AUUGAACGCUGGCGGCAGGCCUAACACAUGCAAGUCGAGCGGUAACACAGGGAGCUUGCUCCUGGGUGACGAGCGGCGGACGGGUGAGUAAUGUCUGGGAAACUGCCUGAUGGAGGGGGAUAACUACUGGAAACGGUAGCUAAUACCGCAUAACGUCGCAAGACCAAAGAGGGGGACCUUCGGGCCUCUUGCCAUCAGAUGUGCCCAGAUGGGAUUAGCUAGUAGGUGGGGUAACGGCUCACCUAGGCGACGAUCCCUAGCUGGUCUGAGAGGAUGACCAGCCACACUGGAACUGAGACACGGUCCAGACUCCUACGGGAGGCAGCAGUGGGGAAUAUUGCACAAUGGGCGCAAGCCUGAUGCAGCCAUGCCGCGUGUAUGAAGAAGGCCUUCGGGUUGUAAAGUACUUUCAGCGGGGAGGAAGGCGUUGAGGUUAAUAACCUCAGCGAUUGACGUUACCCGCAGAAGAAGCACCGGCUAACUCCGUGCCAGCAGCCGCGGUAAUACGGAGGGUGCAAGCGUUAAUCGGAAUUACUGGGCGUAAAGCGCACGCAGGCGGUCUGCCAAGUCGGAUGUGAAAUCCCCGGGCUCAACCUGGGAACUGCAUUCGAAACUGGCAGGCUAGAGUCUUGUAGAGGGGGGUAGAAUUCCAGGUGUAGCGGUGAAAUGCGUAGAGAUCUGGAGGAAUACCGGUGGCGAAGGCGGCCCCCUGGACAAAGACUGACGCUCAGGUGCGAAAGCGUGGGGAGCAAACAGG
rnacentral:rRNA from 1 species